rnacentral:rRNA from 1 species
GACGAACGCUGGCGGCGUGCUUAACACAUGCAAGUCGAACGGAAAGGCCCUGCUUUUGUGGGGUGCUCGAGUGGCGAACGGGUGUGUAACACGUGAGUAACCUGCCCUUGACUUUGGGAUAACUUCAGGAAACUGGGGCUAAUACCGGAUAGGAGCUCCUGCUGCAUGGUGGGGGUUGGAAAGUUUCGGCGGUUGGGGAUGGACUGGCGGCUUAUCAGCUUGUUGGUGGGGUAGUGGCUUACCAAGGGUUUGACGGGGAGCCGGCCUGAGAGGGUGGCCGGCGACACUGGGACUGAGACACGGAGCAGAAGCCAACGGGAGGAGGCAGUGGGGAGGAUUGCGGAAGGGGCGGAAGCCUGAUGCAGCGACGGAGCGUGAGGGAUGCCGGGCUUGGGGUUGUAAACAUCUUUAAGUAUGGAACAAGGAUCCUUCGUUUGGGGGGUUUGAGGGUACGUGAAGAAGAAGCGCCGGCUAACUACGUG